GGGCUCGUGGUGAAAUGGCAGACACGCCAGAUUUAGGUUCUGGUUCCGAAAGGAGUGUGGGUUCAAGUCCCACCGAGCCCA
rnacentral:tRNA from 1 species